CACAAAUGCCACCAAUCAAGCCAUUUCUUUCUCAAGGGGAACUGAGUGAUUUGCAGGGUUUGGGGAAGGUUGCCUGUGCCUAAAGCAUCAUUCCGUCCCACUCUGGGAAACAUCAGCGGCCAUCCUCACUCCUGCAUGUCUGGCCAUUGGUGCUGCCUGUCAGGACAUUUGUUCUCUGACGUCUUAGGUGCUGUGCACGGAGCUCGACUAUCCUGAAUCCACCAUGAUUCGACCUCAUGUCAGUCCUUUGGCUGCCAGCCCAGUUCAACUCCAAGCUGAUGACCAGUGUCGACCGCCAGUCAUUCUGAACAUUUGACCAGUUGAGCUUUCAAAUGAUGGCAGUCCUGGCUGACAUUUUGGGUGAACAAUAUGAGAGACUGACUGGUUGAGCCCUUCCCAAAUUUCUGACCCACAACAUUGUGAGAAAAAUAAUCUUAAGCCUCUCAGUUUGGGGACAAUUUGUUACUCAGCAAUAGAAAUGAAAAUAUGAUCUCAGUAGGACCAUGUGACUUGCAGCAACCAGGGUGACAAUGAACGUCCCUGCAGAUACCCGAGGAGGGGACGCAUGAAGGUUCCCUAGGUGCCCUGUAAAUCUACAGCUUCCUGCUUUCCUCUGCCACAAACACAUGACACGCUGUACCUCUACACC
rnacentral:lncRNA from 1 species